UACGAAGGGUGCAAGCGUUAUCCGGAUUCACUGGGCUUAAAGGGUGCGUAGGCGGUUUUGUAAGUCAGUGGUGAAAGCCCGGAGCUCAACUCCGGAACUGCCAUUGAUACUGCUUAACUUGAAUCAACUUGAGGUGGAUGGAAUAUUACAUGUAGCGGUGAAAUGCUUAGAUAUGUAAUAGAACACCGAUUGCGAAGGCAGUUCACUAAGGUUGUAUUGACACUGAGGCACGAAAGCGUGGGGAUCAAACAGG
rnacentral:rRNA from 1 species